rnacentral:rRNA from 1 species
GACGAACGCUGGCGGCGUGCCUAAUACAUGCAAGUAGAACGCUGAAGAGAGGAGCUUGCUCUUCUUGGAUGAGUUGCGAACGGGUGAGUAACGCGUAGGUAACCUGCCUUGUAGCGGGGGAUAACUAUUGGAAACGAUAGCUAAUACCGCAUAACAAUGGAUGACCCAUGUCAUUUAUUUGAAAGGGGCAAAUGCUCCACUACAAGAUGGACCUGCGUUGUAUUAGCUAGUAGGUGAGGUAACGGCUCACCUAGGCGACGAUACAUAGCCGACCUGAGAGGGUGAUCGGCCACACUGGGACUGAGACACGGCCCAGACUCCUACGGGAGGCAGCAGUAGGGAAUCUUCGGCAAUGGGGGCAACCCUGACCGAGCAACGCCGCGUGAGUGAAGAAGGUUUUCGGAUCGUAAAGCUCCGUUGUAAGUCAAGAACGAGUGUGAGAGUGGAAAGUUCACACUGUGACGGUAGCUUACCAGAAAGGGACGGCUAACUACGUG